rnacentral:rRNA from 1 species
UACAGAGGUCUCGAGCGUUGUUCGGAUUCAUUGGGCGUAAAGGGUGUGUAGGUGGCGCGCUAAGUCGGGUGUGAAAUUUCGGAGCUUAACUCCGAAACUGCAUUCGAUACUGGCGUGCUUGAGGACUGGAGAGGAGACUGGAAUUCAUGGUGUAGCAGUGAAAUGCGCAGAUAUCAGGAGGAACACCCGUGGCGAAGGCGGUUCUCUGGGACGGUACUGACGCUGAGACGCGAAAGCGUGGGGAGCGAACAGG